rnacentral:rRNA from 1 species
CCUACGGGAGGCUGCAGUGAGGAAUAUUGGUCAAUGGACGAGAGUCUGAACCAGCCAAGUAGCGUGAAGGAUGACUGCCCUAUGGGUUGUAAACUUCUUUUAUAUGGGAAUAAAACGUUCCACGUGUGGGAUUUUGUAUGUACCAUAUGAAUAAGGAUCGGCUAACUCCGUGCCAGCAGCCGCGGUAAUACGGAGGAUCCGAGCGUUAUCCGGAUUUAUUGGGUUUAAAGGGAGCGUAGGUGGAUUGUUAAGUCAGUUGUGAAAGUUUGCGGCUCAACCGUAAAAUUGCAGUUGAAACUGGCAGUCUUGAGUACAGUAGAGGUGGGCGGAAUUCGUGGUGUAGCGGUGAAAUGCUUAGAUAUCACGCAGAACUCCGAUUGCGAAGGCAGUUCACUGGACUGCAACUGACACUGAGGCUCGAAAGUGUGGGUAUCAAACAGGAUUAGAUACCCGUGUAGUC